rnacentral:misc_RNA from 1 species
UGUGGGAGCUGGCUUGCCAGCGAUAGCGGUGGAUCAGUCACCUUCAAUGCUGAAUGAUAGGCCGCCAUCGCUGGCAAGCCAGCUCCCACA